rnacentral:rRNA from 1 species
CCUACGAGAGGCAGCAGUGGGGGAUAUUGGACAAUGGGGGGAACCCUGAUCCAGCGACGCCGCGUGAGUGAAGAAGUAUCUCGGUAUGUAAAGCUCUAUCAGCAGGGAAGAAGAAAUGACGGUACCUGAGUAAGAAGCCCCGGCUAACUACGUGCCAGCAGCCGCGGUAAUACGUAGGGGGGAAGCGUUAUCCGGAAUUACUGGGUGUAAAGGGGGCGUAGGCGGUGUUGUAAGGCUGGAGUGAAAGGCGGGGGCCCAACCCCCGGACUGCUGUGGAAACUAUGUGACUGGAGUGCAGGAGAGGUGGGCAGAAUGCGUGGUGUAGCGGUGAAAUGCGUAGAUAUUAGGAAGAACGCCGGUGGCGAAGGCGGCACACUGGACUGUAACUGACGUUGAGGCUCGAAAGCGUGGGGAGCAAACAGGAUUAGAUACCCGAGUAGUC